GCAGCCGCCGCGGUAAUACGGAGGAUCCAAGCGUUAUCCGGAAUCAUUGGGUUUAAAGGGUCCGUAGGCGGUCUUGUAAGUCAGUGGUGAAAGCCCAUCGCUCAACGGUGGAACGGCCAUUGAUACUGCAGGACUUGAAUUAUUGGGAAGUAACUAGAAUAUGUAGUGUAGCGGUGAAAUGCUUAGAGAUUACAUGGAAUACCAAUUGCGAAGGCAGGUUACUACCAAUUGAUUGACGCUGAUGGACGAAAGCGUGGGUAGCGAACAGGAUUAGAUACCCCCGUAGUCCCUGUCUCUUAUAC
rnacentral:rRNA from 1 species